AUUGAACGCUGGCGGCAGGCCUAACACAUGCAAGGCGAAAGAGUGGCGGACGGGUGAGUAAGGUCUGGGAAACUGCCCGAUGGCGGGGGAUAACUCCGGGAAACGGUAGCUACUACCGCAUACCGUCGGAUGUGGCACGAUGGGAUUCGCGAGUAGGUGGGGUAAUGGGUCACCUAGGCUAGGAUCCCUAGCUGGUCUAAGAGGAUGACCAGCCACACUGGAACUGAGACACGGUCCAGAGUCCUACGGGAGGCAGCAGUGGGGCAUAUUGCACAAUGGGCGCAAGCCUGAUGCAGCCAUGCCGCGUGUAUGAAGAAGGCCUUCGGGUUGUAAAGUACUUUCAGCGAGGAGGCGUUACUCGCAGAAGAAGCACCGGCUAACUCCGUGCCAGCAGCCGCGGUAAUGC
rnacentral:rRNA from 1 species